ACGACCUUACUUGAGCAGAUCUGUUCUAUAGGUUUGUACUUCUGCAUCCUUGAGUUCUAAGUCAUUUAUUAUGUCACAAAAUGUUGUAGGUCAAAACUGGGGGGAAAAAAAAGAAAUUUGUCCAACGAAAAUAAACAAUUGUAAAAAUUACCUUAUAUCACUCGAUUGUGUUAGACAACUU
rnacentral:sRNA from 1 species